rnacentral:rRNA from 1 species
GACGAACGCUGGCGGCGUGCCUAAUACAUGCAAGUAGAACGCUGAAGGAGGAGCUUGCUUCUCUGGAUGAGUUGCGAACGGGUGAGUAACGCGUAGGUAACCUGCCUGGUAGCGGGGGAUAACUAUUGGAAACGAUAGCUAAUACCGCAUAAGAGUAGAUGUUGCAUGACAUUUGCUUAAAAGGUGCAAUUGCAUCACUACCAGAUGGACCUGCGUUGUAUUAGCUAGUUGGUGGGGUAACGGCUUACCAAGGCGACGAUACAUAGCCGACCUGAGAGGGGGAUCGGCCACACUGGGACUGAGACACGGCCCAGACUCCUACGGGAGGCAGCAGUAGGGAAUCUUCGGCAAUGGACGGAAGUCUGACCGAGCAACGCCGCGUGAGUGAAGAAGGGUUUCGGAUCGUAAAGCUCUGUUGUAAGAGAAGAACGAGUGUGAGAGUGGAAAGUUCACACUGUGACGGUAUCUUACCAGAAAGGGACGGCUAACUACGUG